UACGAAGGGGGCUAGCGUUGUUCGGAAUCACUGGGCGUAAAGCGCACGUAGGCGGCUUGUUAAGUCAGGGGUGAAAUCCUGGAGCUCAACUCCAGAACUGCCUUUGAUACUGGCGAGCUUGAGUUCGGGAGAGGUGAGUGGAACUGCGAGUGUAGAGGUGAAAUUCGUAGAUAUUCGCAAGAACACCAGUGGCGAAGGCGGCUCACUGGCCCGAUACUGACGCUGAGGUGCGAAAGCGUGGGGAGCAAACAGG
rnacentral:rRNA from 1 species